ACCCCUGUAGCCCAACGGCAAGAGGCAGCGCGCUCAGAACGCGUCCGGUGCAGGUUCGAAUCCUGCCAGGGGUA
rnacentral:tRNA from 1 species